rnacentral:siRNA from 1 species
UUGGUAAUCCUCUCCAUAAGGUA